rnacentral:rRNA from 1 species
UACGUAGGGUGCAAGCGUUGUCCGGAAUUAUUGGGCGUAAAGAGCUCGUAGGCGGUCUGUCGCGUCGGCUGUGAAAACCCGGAGCUCAACUCCGGGCCUGCAGUCGAUACGGGCAUCACUGGAGUUCGGCAGGGGAGACUGGAAUUCCUGGUGUAGCGGUGAAAUGCGCAGAUAUCAGGAGGAACACCGGUGGCGAAGGCGGGUCUCUGGGCCGAUACUGACGCUGAGGAGCGAAAGCGUGGGGAGCGAACAGG